rnacentral:lncRNA from 1 species
UGCACCACACUGGCAGCAUCUGGAGCUGCCAUCGCUCUGCUUUCCUGGUCCCCUGUGCUUUCCUUCCCAGUGUGAACAGGGCGUUGCUCCAGCUCUGAGGAAUUCCAUGAUGGACAGCGUGAGUCCAGGCAGUUCUGCUGGAGCAGUUGUCAGCUCCCAGAGCAGACCAGAAGCUUUUCUUCCCACAGCUGCUACUGGAAUUUACCACUUCUUCAAGCAGAGCUGUGCAGGUAAACGCCGCGGAGAGGAUCUGGAAUCUGUUUGCUUUCCUGUACAACUGUUGCAGUAAAGAGGUAAGGAGCCAGGCACCCACCAGCCAGUCCAUCUCCCUUUCCCUUCUCAUGGAUUCUCAUGGGGACCAUGAGCACGGCUCUGCCCUGAAGGGUCUUUGUUCCUCCUUUCCCCUGACUGAAUGUGUCAUAUCUUCCUUCCUUCUUUCCAUAGCCAUUUGGAAAAUACCUCCAGCCUUCUCAGAGGACAGCCAUCAUCCUCAAGACUCUUGACAUAAUGAGUAGCUACAGCACCGAAGAUGAUGAGCAUUUUGGGGCCGAAUUCAUGGUGGACAUAGCAGUUGAAGACCCUGCCACCUGGCUGAUGGAUGUGCCAAAGAUUCUGAGGUUCAUCCAUGAAAGCCUGAGUAACUGCAGAGAUUCAGACCACCAGAAACUCUUCUCAGUACUUUCCACAAUGGCCAACCAGUUUCCUAGGGAAGUGCUCCUAAGCAUCUUGACAGACCUCCCGACACUUGACAGGUACCAGCCCCAGAAGCCCUGGGGGCUUUUUCUAUGUGGGGAGAAGGACCUGGAGAAUCUCUGGCCCCUCCAUCGCAUGGUGCGCAUCCUCCCAGUGGAGUGGGCCCCUCCAUCGCACGGUGCUCGCCAGCCCUGUUGGGGCAGCCAGGGUCUCAGCAUCCAGACCAGACCAAGGCAGCCCAGAGACCCCAUCACACUCCCUCCUGCCCCACAGGGAGCACCACCUCAGGCCCCUCCUGCUUGCCCAGCCUGGUCCCCCAGGGCUCCCUAAGCACGGGGUGGCGAGGUCCAGGGCUGCAGGACAGCCCGGGGCCUGCGGGGUUGGUCUGGGUCAUGGCGCUGUGACCAGGGCAGCCCUGCCAACAGUGUGUUCUGGGCUUGCAGCACUACGCUGGACAUCUGGAAGGCGAUGGUUUCCCUUCCAGUGACUUCAGAGAAGAUCUUGCAGGAGCUAUGGAAUGUUCUCCAGGACAACGAAGUGUGCAGCUUCUUUGCAGUCAGCGCCGCGGACUUAAGCAUCUUUCACUUUGCUGUGAGUAACCAGACAACACACCUUGUUCCCCUUUGGGGCUAUGUGUGCUCCUCCAGGAAAACAGGCACAGUCCUCUCCCCAUCCCAUCUUCUCCAACCUGUCACCUCUUCCAGGACACAAGGACACAGCCCCUUAGGGCCAGCACCAGCCCCCCCUCCACCAGCCAUGCGGGGUCCGUGUGCUCAGACAUGAAGCCUGCCCCUUUCCUGGCAGUGCUGUCUUUCCCCCGGCUCCUGGCAAUGACUGGGGCAGAGUCAGGACAAUGUCUGGGGCUGGGGCAGAGCCAUGGCCUCUGCACGGGCUGAGCAAGCUGUGAGGCCAGGGACUAGUAGCACCUGUAGCCACCUGCUUCCAGUGCCUGCUUUGUGCCAGAUGGUGCUGGUCAGUCGCUCCUCAGAGGUGUGAGACCAAGAGGCUGCGGAUGGCCAGAGGGAAGGAGGAGCAGGCAAAGAAAGGAUGCUCUGUGUUGCCAGGCGCAGGGCACACAGGAGCCACACACUCCUCCG